CUCAGAUGGCGUUAGCUGUUAUUUCGGCUGCCAAACCACGUGGAUUUUUGCUUAUUCCCAAUUUUGAUCUAAGAACAAAAAAAUUUAACAGUUGCCUAACACCCGUGAAAUGUCGUUUUUCAUUCGCAAAAAUCAACGCGGAGCCAAACGUAAUAAUGGUGCAACGGUCACUGGCAGACCCAAAACGUACAAGGAAAAAAAGCGUUUGGCCCACGACGAUGAAAUCUCUAGCCAUUCGGAAGGAGAAAACGAUGAUUCCAGAGUAUAUACAGAAUCGGAAGAAGAUGAAGAAACUGUACAAGAAAAAAGGCUAAGGCUUACCAAAGAGUAUAUACAAGAGAUUGAAAACCAAGAACGCAUAAGAAGAGAAGAACACGACAUUGACAAAUCUGUUAUUGCACAUAGACUGAAAGAGGACUUGCUUGAACAGAGUGGCAGACUAAGAAGAACAGUUGCAGAUUCAUAUGAAAAGGUUGAUGAAGCUUUGAUAAGGCAUUUGCACUGCAAAGAUCACAAACAACCUAUCACAUGUUUGACAAUAUCACCUGAUUGUCAGUCUCUGUUCACUGCAUCAAAAGAUUGUACCAUUGUUAAGUGGUGUCUUGUAGAUUUUAAAAAGGUAGCCGCCAUCAAAAGAGUGGAUAAGAAAACUUCCUCUGAAGUAAAAGGCCAUAAGUCUGUGGUGCAAAGUCUUAGUAUUUCGUCUGAUGGAAAAUUUCUGGCAAGUGGUGAUCUAGACAAUCAGAUACAUAUUUGGGAUCCAAUGACAAUGAAGUGGAUGCACACAUUUAGAGGACACAGAGCCGGUAUCACUGGCCUAGUUUUUCGUCGAGGCACCCAUACGUUAUACAGUGCCUCAAUGGACCGUACUGUGAAAAUUUGGAACUUGGAUGAAAUGUCUUAUGUAGAGACGCUAUUAGGUCACCAAGAUGCCAUUACGUCCAUCGAUGCCUUAAACAAAGAACGAGCGAUUACGGCAGGAGGACGUGAUAACUCUUUGCGCGUAUGGAAGAUUCCCGAAGAGUCGCAGCUCAUUUUUAAUGGACAUCAGGGAUCAAUUGACUGCGUCCGUCUUAUCAACGAAGAUCACUUCGUCAGCUGUGGAGAUGACGGUAUGCUGUCGCUAUGGGGCUCACAAAAGAAAAAACCACUUUGUAGUGUAUCCGGCGCGCAUGGAGUGGACGCGUCGAAUAACCAAGCCUUUUGGAUUUCCUCAGUAGCUGCGUUAACGAAUACAGACCUUAUUGCUUCAGCAGGAUCCCAAGACGGUUUUAUUCGUCUAUGGAAAUGUGGCGAUAACUUCCGCACUCUAACACCUCUACUUAGCGUUCCGGUUUGCGGGUUCGUUAACUCCUUGGCAUUUUCUUCAGAUGGGAAGAUGUUGAUUGCCGGUCUCGGUCAAGAACAUAGACUAGGCAGGUGGUGGCGGAAUGGAUCGGCUAAAAACGAAAUAGUUAUCAUUCCGCUCAAGCAACGUGAGACAUCAUGACCUCUUACUUUAUUUGAACGUAUUUUAACGACGUCUUCUUUUUGGUCGCACCGCUGAGGCCUCGAGCUCGGGCAGGGAGUCACUUUGGUUAGGAUCGGGUAGAUGAAUGUCACUUAUAUCUACAUCUCGUAUUUGGAAACUAACGUCAUCGUGUGGGACCUUUCGGAUAGGAGUGCUCAUAAUUCUCGAUCUCAAAAGACUCUUGGCCGCCACAUUGCGCACUAGAGGUACAUUUGGUAUUUCAGGUUGUAAAAACGCACGAGAAGUAUCCAUUAUUGGUGCUUCUUGCCCUACUGGUGGCUCACUUUCCCCAUUUGGACUACUACUCUCAUUCGGCCUUUCCUUUGUGAAUUGUUUUGCAUUGCUUUUGUUUGCUUCUGUGAUGGGUUCUUGUCCUUUUACCGUUGUCGGUGGAAUACUUUCAGACGGAUUACUUUCCAAAGCUCCAAUGGGGGUAUCAGUUUCUCGCUUCGAUAGUUCCGCAUUGUCCGUUGUUUCCGCGAAUUCGGGGGCAGAAUUGUUGACUCUACUUCGUCCAUCACCCUGUUGAGUUCUAACUUCCUCACCUUCGUGCGGAUUAAUUAACUCUACAGGCGGUACAGUUCGAUCCACUCGAGAGGUCUGCAAUUCAGCAUCCAAUCUCUCUUGUUGUUCAAAUCGCUUAAGAUCGAAAUCAAUUUCUGCCAUCAGCUGGCGAUCCUCCGCAAGGAUUUCUUGGAUCUCGUCUUUAUAGUCUUUCAUCAACUCUCGUAAGAAUUGCAUGAGAUUGCCCAUCAGUGAUGACUUAUUGGCCGCUAGUUUACGUUUUAAAGCGACGACGAUUGGUACAAUGUUUUCGAUAACGUUUCGUUUUACAACCUACAUAAAAUCGAUCGAAACUUAAUCAUUGUGGAACGCGAACACGGAAACAGAAUCGUACUAACCUGAGCGAUGAUAGCCUUCUUAGUGGACUGUACAAUAGCUUGAGCUAUAUCUUCUUUCUCUACGGGAUCGUCUUCCGUAGAAGCAGCCAAUGAAGCUAAUUUAAUAUCCUCCGACGAUAGUACGGCAAGGGCAUCUUUCAAAACAGCUUCAGUGGAAGCCUUUUUUAGAGACAUAACAUCCUCAACAACUCCGUGGAGCACAUCGCGGGUUAGUCGGAAAAAGAGUUGAAACCGCGCCUCGUCAUCCAUAUUCUGCAACAUGAACUGGGAUUUAUACAAACCAGCGAUGGAAAACAACUUUCUUUCUCUAUCCGUCAAGGCAAAUUUAUUGUACGUUGGGUGACCCUUGUAGUCAUUGAAAUGGAACACGCUUUCAAUGAAGUGCUGUUGUAUGAUGGUUGGUUGUCUGUGGAGUAAACGCUGGGUAACAUAGAAAUGUGCCAGAACUCGUAAUCCCUCGUCAUCAUCGCAUGCCAAUUGCAGGAUGCGGAAGAAAAAGCAGGGAUCGGGUCACGUAGACAAGCCGUUACUUGCGGCAUAACGGGAUCAAUGGCGGUGGCAUAGCGAAUUACCCAAUCGCACAAACAACAAACAAUAUUGUUGCGGACCGUCUCGUGUGGAGUCGUUUCAAGUAGACGACCCAAACCCGGAAUAAGCUGCGGGGAAUAUUAUAGAGAUCCAAUAGGAACCAAAUGAAAUUAAUAAAAGGUAAAGUAUACCUGUUUGGCCAUUUCUUCAUGUUGAAUGCUGAGUUUCCCCAGUGAAAUGAUGGCGGCCGCUUGUAGCCGCGGAGGAAGCUUUCUUUUAGGUUGCGACUGUGACUGAGAGAACGGAAUCGGAGCAUCAACUCCUAGCUCUUGAAAAGCAGCGUGCUCCAACAGCAAGAAAUGUCGCUUGUUGACUUGUCUAGGGCAGUGCAACCCAACGGAACCUAGCGUGAGAAUACGACGUGCCAACUGCUCCUCCUCUUCUGGAAAUACAGCGUCCUACAACAGUUGAAAAUAUUUGGGAUAGUUGACAUUUUGUUUUUCUUUAAGCUAUCCGGCAUACUUGCUUCCUGAGAUGGCUGCUAAGGAAUUCUCCACAAUCGGAUAUAAUUUCUCCUGCCCAGAGAGCAGCUUCUUUCUGUGCUUCGUUUUCAUCUUUUACUUGCUGCUGGAUGCAAUAUACAACCAUAUCGCAAA